rnacentral:rRNA from 1 species
GCCCCCGAGAGCGGGAUAGCCCUGGGAAACUGGGAUUAAUACCGCAUAGUAUCGAAAGAUUAAAGCAGCAAUGCGCUUGGGGAUGGGCUCGCGGCCUAUUAGUUAGUUGGUGAGGUAACGGCUCACCAAGGCGAUGACGGGUAGCCGGUCUGAGAGGAUGUCCGGCCACACUGGAACUGAGACACGGUCCAGACACCUACGGGUGGCAGCAGUCGAGAAUCAUUCACAAUGGGGGAAACCCUGAUGGUGUGACGCCGCGUGGGGGAAUGAAGGUCUUCGGAUUGUAAACCCCUGUCAUGUGGGAGCAAAUUAAAAAGAUAGUACCACAAGAGGAAGAGACGGCUAACUCUGUGCCAGCAGCCGCGGUAAUACAGAGGUCUCAAGCGUUGUUCGGAAUCACUGGGCGUAAAGCGUGCGUAGGCUGUUUCGUAAGUCGUGUGUGAAAGGCGCGGGCUCAACCCGCGGACGGCACAUGAUACUGCGAGACUAGAGUAAUGGAGGGGGAACCGGAAUUCUCGGUGUAGCAGUGAAAUGCGUAGAUAUCGAGAGGAACACUCGUGGCGAAGGCGGGUUCCUGGACAUUAACUGACGCUGAGGCACGAAGGCCAGGGGAGCGAAAGGGAUUAGAUACCCCUGUAGUCCUGGCAGUAAACGGUGCACGCUUGGUGUGCGGGGAAUCGACCCCCUGCGUGCCGGAGCUAACGCGUUAAGCGUGCCGCCUGGGGAGUACGGUCGCAAGAUUAAAACUCAAAGAAAUUGACGGGGACCCGCACAAGCGGUGGAGUAUGUGGCUUAAUUCGAUGCAACGCGAAGAACCUUACCUGGGCUUGACAUGUAAUGAACAACAUGUGAAAGCAUGCGACUCUUCGGAGGCGUUACACAGGUGCUGCAUGGCCGUCGUCAGCUCGUGUCGUGAGAUGUUUGGUUAAGUCCAGCAACGAGCGCAACCCCUGUUGCCAGUUACCAGCACGUGAAGGUGGGGACUCUGGCGAGACUGCCCAGAUCAACUGGGAGGAAGGUGGGGACGACGUCAGGUCAGUAUGGCCCUUAUGCCCAGGGCUGCACACGUACUACAAUGCCCAGUACAGAGGGGGCCGAAGCCGCGAGGCGGAGGAAAUCCUGAAAACUGGGCCCAGUUCGGACUGUAGGCUGCAACCCGCCUACACGAAGCCGGAAUCGCUAGUAAUGGCGCAUCAGCUACGGCGCCGUGAAUACGUUCCCGGGUCUUGUACACACGGCCCGUCA